AUUGAACGCUGGCGGCGGGCUUACCACAUGCAAGUCGAGCGAGCGGAGGACGGGUGAGUAAUGUCUGGGAAACUGCCUGAUGGAGGGGGAUAAGUACUGGAAACGGUAGCUACUAACGCAUACCAGCAGCUGUGCACAGAUGGGAUUAGCUAGUAGGGGGGGUAAUGGCUCACCUAGGCGAAGAUCCCUAGCUGGUCUGAGAGGAUGACAAGCCACACGGGAACUGAGACACGGGCCAGACUCCUACGGGAGGCAGCAGUGGGGAAUAUUGCACAAUGGGCGCAAGCCUGAUGCAGCCAUGCCGCGUGUGUGAAGAAGGCCUUCGGGUUGUAAAGCACUUUCAGCGAGGAGGCGUUACUCGCAGAAGAAGCACCGGCUAACUCCGUGCCAGCAGCCGCGGUAAUUC
rnacentral:rRNA from 1 species